UGGAGCAUGUGGUUUAAUUCGAUGCAACGCGAAGAACCUUACCUGGUCUUGCAUCCACAGAACUUUCCAGAGAUGGAUUGGUGCCUUCGGGAACUGUGAGACAGGUGCUGCAUGGCUGUCGUCAGCUCGUGUUGUGAAAUGUUGGUAGUCCGCAACGAGCGCAACCCUUAUCCUUUGUUGCCAGCGGUCCGGCCGGGAACUCAAAGGAGACUGCCAGUGAUAAACUGGAGGAAGGUGGGAUGACGUCAAGUCAUCAUGGCCCUUACGACCAGGGCUACACACGCGCUACAAUGGCGCAUACAAAGAGAAGCGACCUCGCGAGAGCAAGCGGACCUCAUAAAGUGCGUCGUAGUCCGGAUUGGAGUCUGCAACUCGACUCCAUGAAGUCGGAAUCGCUAGUAAUCGCGGAUCAGCACGCCGCGGUCGAAUACGUUCCCGGGCCUU
rnacentral:rRNA from 1 species